rnacentral:rRNA from 1 species
GACGAACGCUGGCGGCGUGCUUAACACAUGCAAGUCGAACGGGAUCCGGGCUUUCGGGUUUGGUGAGAGUGGCGAACGGGUGAGUAACACGUGGGUAACCUGCCCCCUUCUUUGGGAUAACGUCGGGAAAUCGGCGCUAAUACUGGAUAUUCUUGCUGCAUCGCAUGGUGUGGUUUGGAAAGGGUUUCUGGUGGGGGAUGGGCUCGCGGCCUAUCAGCUUGUUGGUGGGGUGAUGGCCUACCAAGGCUUUGACGGGUAGCCGGCCUGAGAGGGUGUCCGGCCACACUGGGACUGAGACACGGCCCAGACUCCUACGGGAGGCAGCAGUGGGGAAUAUUGCACAAUGGGCGCAAGCCUGAUGCAGCGACGCCGCGUGAGGGAUGACGGCCUUCGGGUUGUAAACCUCUUUCAGUAUGGAACAAGGAUCCUUCUUUUGGGGGGUUUGAGGGUACGUGCAGAAGAAGCGCCGGCUAACUACGUG